CUACGGAGGAUGCGAGCGUUAUCCGGAUUUAUUGGGUUUAAAGGGAGCGUAGGCGGGAGCUUAAGUCAGCGGUUAAAUGGUGCGGCUCAACCGUGCCCUGCCGUUGAAACAGGGUUUCUUGAGAGUGCAAGAGGCGGAUGGAAUUCAUGGUGUAGCGGUGAAAUGCUUAGAUAUCAUGAAGAACUCCGAUUGCGAAGGCAGUCCGCUGGGGCACGUCUGACGCUGAUGCUCGAAGGUGCGGGAAUCAAACAGGAUUAGAUACCCUGCUAGUCCGCACGGUAAACGAUGAUUACCCGCUGUCGGCGGCAGACAGUCGGCGGCCAAGCGAAAGCGAUAAGUAAUCCACCUGGGGAGUACGCCGGCAACGGUGAAACUCAAAGGAAUUGACGGGG
rnacentral:rRNA from 1 species